UGGAGUGAUUGUAACCCUCUGGCCAUAGGCCUUCCUCUUGGGCCCUGGAAACGAACACAACAGCCCUCUCUUCUCCCAGGAGUGGGUGGGGGUGUCACUGACCACUGAGGGGUAACACUGAGGAGCAGGAGUGGAAGCAGGGGGCCAGCGAGGAGGCUUCCACAGUCAUUCAGGUAAGAGAUGAGGGAGGCCUGGCCUGAUCUGGUGGCUUGGAGGUAAAGAGAAGCAGACAGUUUGAAGAGAGAUUCUGCAAGUUAGGUAGACAGGCUUUACUUCUGGACUGGAUGUGGGGUGUGAAGGAAAGAGGAGAAUUAGAGACAAACAGCUGGAUGGGUGGUGAGUCCCUCUGCUCACUCAGGGACCUCUUUAUCAGUCCUGCAUCCCUGCAUUUCGGUGCGGAUCGGCCCACCCAUCUCCCUCUCUGCACUCGGUAAGGAGGCUCACAAAGAGACCAGGCUUCCCAUUGUCUCAGGCUUCCUCUCCCAUUUAGAGAGCUUAUUAAUUUCUGAAUCAAGAUGCCAAAUCAGCUCCUCAUCAAGGACAACACUGAUUUUUUCCCCUGACUUCAAAAUAAGUUUGCAGAUGAUGUGUUUGUGAAGCAAUCAACCUUGCACUUCCUCCCCUCCCAGCCCGUCAAGAGGGAGGUCAUCUGACUCCACACGGAACAAACAAACGGAAUGCGGAAUGCGGAGGAGCAAACAAAGGCGCUGCAGUCAAGAGGUCUGGCCGCAUGCUCCUCCUCGAGAGGCACCGGGAAUGCAACUCAACUCAACUCAGCAAGGUCCCACUCCAGGUUUAAUUGCUAUCAGCAGCAAAAGAGAAAAUUAGAAAUGAAAAGAUAAUGAACUGUGAAUAUUAGCUUGUUUGAUGGGUCUAAACUGGAAGGACGGGUAUGCACUGCAAUCAGAUAAAAAGAGAACCAAUCCCAAAAGGCAGUGGAGAGCUCUGUGCUUACUACCCUUGCUGCCUAUGACGGACGGUGGUGGGCAUCAGUGCAGUACCUUGAAGGCUCUGAGUACCGCCAGGGGGUCAUCGUUGGUGAGUCGGCGCACGAGUGAGGGCCAGGUCCGAUGAGCCAAGGGAAGGAGCUGGUUCUUGUGGGACUGUAGAACUACCACACACAGAUCCAGUACAUCCAAGACCUGAAAGAAAAGAAGACAUGGUUUCAGCAGAUAGUCAAGGCUGGAAACCAGAUACCUGGGAUUAAGUCACCAUUUUAAAAGGAUAAAAUCUGGAAACCUUAACUGAAUAAAUAUUUACUGACUACAUGCCAAGCACUUGCUAGGUACUGCAGGGGAGACACAGGAACAAAAUAGAUAUGUUUCCUUGCCUUCAUGGGGCUUACAGUCAACUGGAGAAAGACCUUAAUUAGGUAACACCCAAAUAAAGGGAUGAUUUACCAACUGUGACUCGUGCUAAGAAGGAAAGUAAAGAGUGAAGUGCAAAGAAACUAAAGGGAGGGAUCUAAACCAUACAGACCCUUGGGAGAGCUUCUCUGGGGAAGUAACUUCUAAAAGCAGACAUAAGGGAUGAGUAGGAGUUAGCCAUGUAACAAGUGAGUGUUCCCACAACUGGAAAGAGCAAUGAGGAAGACCCAGAGGGGGGAGAGCUUGCAGUGUGGAGCGUGACAGAGGAGGGGUAAGAUGGUGCUGGACCAUGAAGAAUUUUUUGUUUUCUACUAAGUGCAGUGGGGAACCAUCAAAAUGUUUUAAGCAGGAAAGUGUGACGUGAUACAAUUCAUGUUUUAAAAAGGUCAUUUCAGCCUGCUGAGUGGAGAAGGGACUGGAAACAGAAGAGAGAAGAAGUGAGGGGCCCUUUAGGAAGUCAUGGCACAUGUCCACAUGAGAGGAGGAAAGAGAUGUGGCCACGUGAUGGUGGCAGAGGAGUAAAAGGAUUUGAGAUCUGUAAGUCAAAGGAUUUGAGAGCUGUUUUGGACAUGAAAUGGCUUAAACUGCUGAAGGACUUGAUAUUAGGGAGAUGAAGAGAGGUAUCAAAAAGUGCUGCUUGGGUUCAGGCUUAGCAACUGAAUUGAUGCAGGUGCUAUUUAAUGAGACAGGAGCAAUGGAGGAGGAGUAAAUUGAGAGGCUGGAUGAGAUCAAGCUCUGUUACUUUGAAAUGGAGAGGUCAUGUAGGCAGCUGAGAUACAGGCCAAUCUUAGAAGAAACGUGUAGAGCAGCCUAGAUGUAAAGUGGAUUUUCUACCUUCCCUGAGAAUGCGUUUCGUAAUUUCUCGUAUCUCAAAGCUCUCUGAAAAGUAACAGCCUGCGUCAGUGUCACAGGCAGUGGUCACCACGAUGACCUCACAGAUGGGCCCACCUUCACUGAGGAGAUGAGCGUGCACAUCCGAAUCAGAAAGACAGUGGGAAGUCCGCUAACACCGAGCAGUAAAACCUUCUCGGAUGCCUACUACGUGCUGGUCACACUGAGACCGAACAGAAACAAAGAACACAAGAGGCCCUGCCCUCGAGGGGUGAAGAGUUGGGCAGGGGAGUAACAGGAAGCUCAGGAUGAAGAAGCUGAGGCUUAAAAAGCUGAAUUAACUGACUCAAGGUCACAGAGGCAGAGCCAGGAUUUGAACUUGGGUAUGUAAGUCUGACUCCAGUGUUGAUGCUUUCAGUCACUAUGGUGCGUAUACUGCUGCUACAGAGCCUCCAUAAAAUGGAAGACCCUCAGCACAUGCAUCAACCAGACACCUACAGUAAAGCCUUGCAUGCAGUGGGCACUCGGAAAGUGCUUGCUGAAUGGAACAACAGAUGACCGCUAAGAAGUUCCUCUGGGAAAACUAAUCAAAUUCCGCAAGACAGAGGCCCCGAGAUUUGAGAUAAUCUGUGGAUCAGGGUUUCCUAGCCCACCAUCCCCUAGCAGGGCACGGAGCUCCCAUGAGUAACAGUAAUUCACUGAGGCAGUUGUGUCUCUCACUCCCGCUUGGGAGUGGGGAGGACUGGGCCAGGCUGCCUUGUUCUCCUUCUGGUGUAAGAUCUUCUCCCAGGUGAUUCUGAAAGCCCUGUCCCCAAGCCCACCUGGCCCCACUGUCCUGUUAUUGGAGUCACUACUGUAAUAGUUUAAGUCCCUGCUGAUGGGGAUGCUACUUGGAAAUCUGCCAGCAAAGAAAGAUGCUUACAUCUUACUAAGAAAAGUCUUGGUGUUUUUCCUAGGAUGAACAUGGGAACAGAAACAGAGAUAAGGGCUAGCAUCAGGCUUGGAAGAAUGAUCACUUUAAAGUAUUUAAACCUGCAUCCCAGGUUAAGUCGGCUCAGAAAAUGAUAUCCUUUCCAAAGCAUAUGACUUUCUUUCCCUUGGAGAUUCAGUGAAUCUCCAAAACUUGGUGGUUUUUAAUUCCACAAAGAGGACUCAGCUCCCUUUUGGUAUCUGAGCUGAUAUGGAAAGAUGUAAGACUGUCAUCCCACAGAUAAAUUCCUCUUGAUGUCUUCUCUUGGCCACCACACAUGGACCAGGAGAUAAGAGCAGCUACUUGCUCAUGUGUGGAGUCACUGCCAACCAGACCAAACCUUGGCUCUGCUGCUCUGUGGAUGCAGG